rnacentral:rRNA from 1 species
UACGUAGGGCGCAAGCGUUGUCCGGAAUUAUUGGGCGUAAAGAGCUCGUAGGUGGCGUGUCGCGUCUGCCGUGAAAGCCCAUGGCUUAACUGUGGGUCUGCGGUGGAUACGGGCAGGCUGGAGGCUGGUAGGGGCAAGCGGAAUUCCUGGUGUAGCGGUGAAAUGCGCAGAUAUCGGGAGGAACACCGGUGGCGAAGGCGGCUUGCUGGGCCAGUUCUGACGCUGAGGAGCGAAAGCGUGGGGAGCGAACAGG